GCCCAGGUGGCGGAAUUGGUAGACGCGCUGGCUUCAGGUGCCAGUGUCCUUACGGACGUGGAGGUUCGAGUCCUCUCCUGGGCA
rnacentral:tRNA from 1 species